ensembl:lncRNA
AAAACCUGUUUCAGCUUUGUGUCGUUGUGGGGUACUGUGUCGUUGUGGGGUACUGUGUCGUUGUGGGGUACAGUGUCGUUGUGGGGUACUGUGUCGUUGUGGGGUACAGUGUCGUUGUGGGGUACAGUGUCGUUGUGGGGUACAGUGUCGUUGUGGGGUACAGUGUCGUUGUGGGGUACAGUGUCGUUGUGGGGUACAGUGUCGUUGUGGGGUAUUGUGGGGUACAGUGGCAUUGUGGGGUACAGUGGCAUUGUGGGGUACAGUGGCGUUGUGUAGUGUCGUAGUGGGGUACAGUGUCGUUGUGGGGUAUUGUGUCGUUGUGGGGUAUUGUGUCGUAGUGGGGUUGUGGGGUAUAGUGUCGUUGUGUGGUGUCGUUGUGGGGUACAGUGUCGUUGUGUGGUAUAGUGUCGUUGUGGGGUAUGGUGGCGUUGUGGGGUAUAGUGGCGUUGUGGGGUAUAGUGGGGUAUAGUGGCGUUGUGGGGUAUAGUGGCGUUGUGGGGUACAGUGUCGUUGUGGGGUACGGUGUCGUUGUGGGGUACAGUGUCGUUGUGGGGUACAGUGUCGUUGUGGGGUAUUGUGUCGUUGUGGGGUAUAGUGGGGUAUAGUGUCGUUGUGGGGUAUAGUGUCGUUGUGGGGUAUUGUGUCGUUGUGGGGUAUAGUGGGGUAUAGUGUCGUUGUGUGGGGUAUAGUGUCGUUGUGGGGUACAGUGUCGUUGUGGGGU